rnacentral:rRNA from 1 species
UCCUGCAGCCCAAGACUGGUUGCCCACUGAAGCUAAGGUACCUGGAUGGGAGACCUCCUGGGAAAACUAGGUUGCUGUUGGAA